AUGUCUUGUUUUCCUGUGCAAAGAAGCAGCACGCAGACAGCUCUGGAAAGAACCAAAAUCUCAUGGAGCUUGAUUCUAGUUACUAACGGGAUAACGAGGUGUGUGAAUUGCAUAGAUCUGCACGC